GUUUAAUGUCAGGCUUACUUUAUACCUCUGAAGGAGAAUUCUACUUAGAAUAUUUUAAAUACCAUUUAAUACCUUUCCUAUCUGCAAAAUCAGUUUCUGAAAACUUGCUCUUAACUUGGCAAGUGGGAAAUGGUUCUAAAAAACUCUACAGACAUGUAUCUGUACAACUCUGAUUUCUGCUACAGAGUGGUAUUAACAGUUCUACAGAACUAGUAGUCAGUGGAUUCAGAGUUUCAGUCAGAAAUGCCCGAUACCACUGAAGUCACCAUAGUAGAAUUAAUACCUAGGUGCUGAAGUCAAUUCCUCUAUGUCCCAUCAGUGGUAUGCAUCGCUAAAGUAUUUCAAGGAAUCGCAUUUGCUUUUAUGCAUUGUUCAGUUAAAGGCUACAAUCAGCACAUUUGAUUUUUUAAUACAGUAUACUAAUUCCUAAUCCUAUGGCAGAUAUGCCAUUACUUGACUAAGCGUCUUUCAAACUGUCACAAUCACUGCCAUGAAAUAUCUACAGUUCAGUGAUAAUAAUUCAUACUUAUAUAAUACAAUUCUUUCAAAUUAUUUUAUAAGACCCCUGAAAUGCAACCAGUGUUACAGUGGAGAAUGACAUUCAAGUUAUGUUUGAAAGUCACACAAAGAAAGCAGACAAGUUAAUUUUUGAGAAAACCAAAUGCAAACCUCUACCCUUAAUAAGGACAGUGAAGACUUUGAAGUGUGGGUAAAACAGGAACUUAUUUUUCAGCACAUCCACCAGAGUCCUACUUGGUAAACCAUGCAGUAUUUAUUUACCUUUCUCUGAAAAUGGAAAUGCUGAGGAAUUAAUCAAUGGUCCCAAAGAGAAAGAAAAAGAUUAAGUGUUUUAAAUCAAUGCCUUUCAACAGUAUAUUCAGCCAGAAAUAGAUAUAUUGUUAAUCUGCCUGGUGAGACGUUGGCAGGUAAAAGCCAUAUUUUUAAAGGUAUUUAUGUACCUGGAAAUGCAGAAAGGUAUCCAUUGGGCUUUUCGAAAGUACCUUCAUAAGUACCAGAUUCUUUGUAGGGGUUUGAAUACUGUGGCUCUGACAGCCUCCUGAAGGCUCUGUGAAUAUCGUCACAGAGAAAUGGGCUCUACAUUCUGAAGAAAAAAAAUAACCAAACAAAAAAACCACGGGGUUCACAAAUGGAGAAAAAAAAGCUACAUUUUAAAUCUCUACAAACUGAAGUGAUAAAAUAAAAUCUUCUAAUCUUUAAAGACACCUAACACUUAGAGGAAGAUCAUUUCAAUACAGAGAGUAUUAUUUCUUUGUCUGUGCCAUCUCUGGUGAUAAGCUGUCUGUAGUUUAGCUGAACCUUUUCUGAAGUCUUGCUUUCUCCUUAGGCAAAAGUGAAACAGAAAACCAACCAGAGGGCAGGGAUGACCUACCUCAGCUCUGUUUUCUAUGGAACAAUUGCAAUCAUAUCACAAGGUUUUACUAUUAUAGGAAGUGAAAUAAUGGAAGAAACCCAAAUCAUCAAAUAAAAUACACAGACAUUAGAUAUACACUAGACUUUUCCAGAUGGUAAACAGAACUCUCAACCCAUUUAAAUCAGCACAGAUUCAUUAAAGCCAACACACUUUGUUAUCAUAUACUUUUCAUGACUGGAGAGGGUUCUUGAAGAAAACAAAAAUUACCUGUGCUUGUUUCAUAAGCCCUUGGCACUUCUGAAAUGCUGUAAAGGACUUUAUUAAAAUGAGACCAAAGUCUUCUCUCCCUGAUCCUGGAAAAGAAUAACAAGGCUAUUUAGCUGUCCUUCUUAAAGUAACCAAACUGUAUCACAGGAAAAAAAAAAAAAACCCUUUAAAAUUUCAUAGCAGAGGUGAGUAGAGCCAAAUAUCUUUCAAAGAACAGAAAAUCAUGUAAAAAUUAGCUAGACUCCAAGUGUUCAUGGAAACAACUCAUGUCUCACAAAAUCCCCUCCACCCAAAUAAGUACAUUUCAGUUUUUUACUGCCUGUCAGUCCAAUGCAUGCUACGUAAACUUGCCUUGCACAGAUUUGACUUGUUCACUCUUUUACAGAGCUAAUUUAAAACCAUGCCCACUCUACAAAUUUUCCAGCAGGACAGUCAAUAAUCUACUAACCUGAUAUGUUGCUUUACAAUUUAUCACAAAAAAAGACAAUGAAGUUAAAUGCAGCAGAAGCGUGCAGACAGUCCCAGCAGUUACGGUUCAUUGAUAGUGUGUUCUACAGCCCAAACUAAAGAUUUGUAGUAGAUCAAGUUAUUUUUCUUUCAUAUCCUGAGAAAAGUCUACUAAAUUACACAUAUUUUGACACCUGUAACUCAAGCAUAAGAGAGAGACAGCUAAUGAAUGAAACCAGAUUUUUCUUACGGCUUUCUUGGAGCUUGCCUAUCAGUAAAUAAGUUACCAGGGUUUUUCGCCUUUUCUAUUGUAUUAAGUGAAUGCCUCAUGCAAAGAAAAUGCCAGUUUCCUGCUCUCCAUUUUAUACUUGGAAACAAAAAAAGAAUAUGCAGGAGUUUUUACUGAGGCAAAUGCCAGUUUGCUCAUGCAGGCAAGCAGUUCAGCAAUCAGACAAAGCAGACAGCUGCAGAUUGGUUUAUGAGGUGUGGAAUGCAAGAACAGUCAUCAUUUCUUUGAAUGGCACCUAUUAACCAUCUCCUAACAACUUUUUAGCCUCCAUGGACAACCUCUGAGGAAAAGCAAUGACUUCCAGUCUGACUGUCCAGGUUAAAAUGCUAGUUUGAAAAGCAGCAGCAACCACAACCGCUGCCUUUUAUUGAAUGAAACGUGUCUGAAGGAUCAUGCUAAUCUGCUAACAGAUGUCUCACAUGAUGGACGUGGUGAACAGGGAAAGACUUUCAUAAACUCCAGAGCAAGGCCAUGACUAUGCUCAGAUGCCAAAUGUAGUUUAGAUAUGAAGACAAAGAAAUGUGAAGCCGCUAAGCAUUUUUAUUCUUUUUUUAUUAUUAUAAAAUUCAUAUAGAUGUUCAUGGAAGAAAGAGAACCAGCUCUGUCUAUAAAAUCCUCAGAAUAUUGUGGAAUAUCUAAUCAUUUUCCCUCAAUUUGGUCUAGCUAAGAGGUGUCCUCAAAAGGGCUCUCUCCUGACACAUGAUCAAAUGUAGGUUAGCUCAAGAGGAAAAGGUAAAAGUUAACACAAAUCAGAACAUCAGAUCAUUAGUAGUUAAUCCCACAACAAACUGACAUUUUAAUUCAUUCCUUUCAUGAGAUGGCUUUAUUUACUGCAUACCUCAAUAGUGGUUUUCUCUCAAAAUCAUGGGGAUAUGGUCUCCAUGAGAUGUGGUGGUGCUGUUCUUACUGAGUAUAUGCUAAUGCCACUUGCCUUGUUAUUCAACUGGGAAAGAAAAAGAUGCAGGAAAGCAAAUGUAGCUUUAGGUGAACCUUGAUAUAAGGACAAAAGGGCCCGUACUGCCCUGCUUCUGCUUGCUUCUGUAGAAAUCAUGAAAAAGAGAAGAAAAUAGCAGGCAGGAAGAAAAAGGUGCUGCAACAAUGAGGUCAAUGAUUAUAUUUAUGAUAUUUACAGGUUUAGCUAAGUUAAGCUAAAGAUAGCACUACAUUAUUUUCCAAUAAAGACAACAAAGAAAGCAAACAGAUGCAUAAAAUACAGCAAUAUAAAAUGUUUUUAAAUAAAGUAAUAAACUGCUGAAAGGAUCAAAGUUUUCAAUAUUUUUGAAGUGCUUAUAUUGAUAUUUCAUUUGCAGGAGGUAACAACAUUCCUUUAAAUCAUUGAGAGUAAUUGAACUGAUGUGGCUGUAAGUUGUUUGCUGUUCUGAGGAUUAAAUAUAGGAAAUGUAAGUCACCAUUCUAUAGUUAAUGGUCCCAUAAAUAAAUAAAGUCCUAUUCUGCUUGACUUCUGUGGGUGAGUAUCAGAAUACGAUUAUUUUUUUUCCUAAAUAAACUGGAAUCAAAUAAUUUAAAAGUUUAUACACUUGCUAGCAAGAUGUACCUCAUGUCUGCUUACAAAAACUAAGUAGUUCAAUGUGUCGUGCUUUUACAGUACUGUUUGCAAAAAUUACAUUCCAUUGCUGCUCUUCUGAUUGGCUAUAAAAAACAUGUACAGGAUUUACACAACAUUGGAAAGACCUUGACAACAUUACUUCAGAUGUCCAGAUGAUGUAUAACAAAAAUCUUUACAGCUUUACUUGCAAAACCCCUCAUGCAAUGCUGAAUAUUUCUGUGCUAUACUUUCUGCUAAGUGUAAUUGAGAACAUGCUUGCAUUAAUGUUGUCAGGAUUCCAAAACAGAAUAAAAAAACCCAGAGGCUCUUUAAAAUUGCAUGAGUACUUAAGUAUAAAACUAGAUCAGGAUUCUGGAAAGGAGACAUAAUAGGAUUUCCUCUACGGAUCCCUGUGAAGAUGUUUUGGGAAGCAAAUGGCUUUUCUCCAGAGCUUGUAAAUUAGAUCCCUUAAAUCAUAUCCUAACAUUUAUCACUACUCCAAAUUGCCACCAACUCCCAAUGCCUUUCAAAUCAGUAAUUUUUGAAGUAAUGUAAAUAGAGUUAAAGAGCCCAGAUGAGGUGCUUGCUAGAGACAGAAAAGGGACACCACUCUCCAUUCACAUGCUGAAACUCAUAUGUAAUGGUUUAUCUAUUCUGAAUUCCUUGAAUGUUCUACAGUUUGCCUAUAAUGCGUACAGUUUCAAGGACACUGGAACUGUUCUGAAGAACAAUGAGACUAGGGUAGCACAUUUUAAGCAAAAUGAAUAUUGGCUUACUAGAGUUGCAGUAACAAUUUUAUUCUGACUAUACUUUUCUGAAUGUAGCAACCUCAUUCAACAUUUAUUGCCCCUUCAACUGCUCAGAAUUACAGGAGCCAAAAAAAUGCACGUGUUCACGUUAAAGCCAUUUUCACCUCCUAGAAGGUGAUCAGCAAUAAACACAAUACAAUACUGUUAACACACUGCAGAGUUCAAAGUUAAUCUUUAUGCACCUGUAGAUACAAAGCAGCAAAGGAUGCAGAAAAAUAAGUUUGCAAGAAACCCUCUUUUACUGGAUAAAGAAUAGAUAAAAAAAUAAAAUUCAUAGAUAAUAGAUAAUAAAAGUUAAUCGAUUUAAUGUUUUAGUUUUCUGUGUUAUCCAACACAGAUCUAACUCCUGUACAAGGUCACUCUGGAUAAAUCAGACACAAUCUAAACUGUCUAUCAUCAUCUUGCCAGUCCUCAGUCUUCCUUUUUUGAAUCUGAACCCUAGAAGAAUUCAGUAUUUUAUGAUUUAUUUUUUUAACAUAAUGCUAGAGAAGCAAUUAUGAAUGUCACUGUCACAGCUGAUAUCUGAAAGUCUGGGGUUUUUGGAUCUUGCUGAAUAUACAUCAAAGUUCUAGACAUUAAUUCCACCUCUCUUGGGUGGUAUUCCACAGCUUAACUUCUCCCAGCAUUGAUCUGAGUCACAGUAAGAUGUUGGUCAUGACUAUUUUCUCAAACAUAUCUACAGAUUUAAAGCUAUAUGAUGUCACAAUGAUCAUCCUUGCAAAACAAGAAGCAAAACAUGAAUUCCUGAAAGGUAGGAACAUCUACAGAACUGUGUGAAAGCUUUGAUUUUCCCCUGAACUGAGCUAACCUCAUUCCUGGAGGUAAAGCAAAAGAAAACAAAGCAAAACAAAACAAAACCCAACACCCCACUCGGCUCACUGUACAUGAUGUUUCCCCAUGUCUCUUGCAGUCUGACUGUCAGCUUUCCAUUGAUUCAUCCCUCAUAGCCUUUCCUAAUCUAUUCAUGCCACCUCCCCUUUUCGAAAGUCUUUGAAGUUUCAGAUCUCUGCUGAACCCAGGCAUAGCCCUAGGAAGAGUACCCCAUUCCAUCCUGCACAGAGCCAGUUUGUCUCCCAAUAGCCCAGCAGCCACUCAUAUCUGAAAUUCUUUGAAGUUAUAUACUUUAGGCUGUCUUAUCUGUGCCGUUGUUCUACCUUCUCACUCCUUUAACAACGUUGUUGCCGCUUCCCAUGAUUUAACUCUACGCAUUCAGGUUAGCAACAGCAAAACUGAAUUGAGGAGUCAUAGAUAGUCAACACUAGAUUCAUAACAAAUUCUCAAAGUAUAUAUUUCCAGCUUUAUAGCUUGGAUAGAAGAAAAUGCAUCCUGCAAAUGCCAAUUAAUACAUUUUUUUCAGUUCUAAGUAGUUAUUUAAAUUUUAAUCAAAUGAAGCAGAGCAAGAUUAAUUUUAAAUACACGAUGCUUUGUGACUCAAAUUUAUUGACACCAAUAAGAUGCUUAUAGCCCUUAAAAUAUUUUCUGGAAGCUAUGAAAAGCCAGGCCUACUUAGGAUGUAAGCUUACCUCGCUUAACUGAAUGGAAAUCACACCAGAAUUUGGGCCUCUACGUUCCCUGUAUAAUGCACAAGAAGACUUAGGUCUCUCAGAAGGGUGACCCUGCACUAUUAAUAGAAUGUUGCUUGGAGUACCCACCAGAAAAUACCUCACCAUGGAGUGCUUAUCUCUGUGACUCUAGGGAUGGUCCUUCCAGUUCUGGAAGCAAGGUCUCCUUGUGAGGACAAGGACAUACCUUUCACACAGCUGAGGAGAACUUGUUUUCUUUCAGAACAGAGCUGCAGCACGGUGGUGUUCCUAUGCAUACCGAUGGGUAGCUUUAAAUGGCUGUGGCUGAGCCAGUUAAGUCAGGAUCCCUUUCCAGCCAAGUGACAGAAGGAAAUAUUUGGAGGAGUUGGCUGACCUGACAUUCUUUAGACAGUUAUUCUUCCAUAAGAUGAAUCACAUCCUGAAUGUGCUAUCCAUUUACUGCUGAGGUAGUCGAGCUAGUUGCCACCUAAAAAGUAGGCACCUAGAGUUCAAUUAAAGUAACCUCCCACCUCCGUCCUCGUGACUAGAAUACUUUGUGAAGUAGAAGAUCCUCUCUAGUCUGAAUGGGUUCAAAGCCAUGCAGUGCUUCUCCAGGUGGCUGCAUGCCCCCCAUGCCUCCAACAGAAUCUGUGCUGUUGUGUAGAAAAGCACAAAGUGCAAAGGCCAGUCAUCUGAAAGGCUCCAGGGAAAGCAGUUUUGUCCUAUACUCUGAUCUUAGCAUUGGCUUUUAUUUUGUUUCUCUUGUUCCUACCCUCCACCCCACCCACCUGCCCCUACUAAAUAUAAACACAUAGCUCUAUAAUGAAGAAUCAAACCCAGGACUCCUUUUUUCUUAAGCAUCACCUACUGGGUAAGUGUAUUAGUCCCAAGUCUGUAAAGUAAAAGAUAGUCAGACUGCCAUCACUUCUCCUCCAGAAGCUAGUUAUUUAAGGAAAAUAGCUAGGAAGCGAUGCUGACAGGGUCCCAGUUCAGUAGCUCUGUGGUGGAAUGACAUUCAGCAAGAAGUUCCUCCUCCUCCUCUGCCAAGCCAAACACUUUGGCAUUAUUGUGUGUCACUUCUGACUUCCUAGCAUAGGUGAGAACCAGGUUGUCCAUUCUGGCCUGUGCAAGUGACAAGACUUUAUGAAUCACACCUGGGGGACUAUCUAGUGAUGAGAAAACAGCUAGAUGCCUUUUGGUUUAAGCAGUUACUGUGUGAGCAGAAUUUGAAUCACGACUUAGAUUUAGGUGUCAGAUUCCUGUCUAGAGCCCAUUUUAGAUAACUGUGAUUUUUUCCCCUAAUGUUUCCCAAUGACAAACCAAUAUACCAUAAUACAGUUGGAAAGUUUUUAAAAGACUGAUUAACUAAAUCACAGUCUAUACAUCAUUUAGGAUAAGUUUCCUAGUAAAUCUCUUCAGACAAUUCUUCUAGCUUGAUUUACAUAAAACUGUCACAUGAAAAUGGUGAGGCUUGAUGUGCAUCAAUCAAGUUAUUAAACAGAAAUAUUUUCACCUAUUUGUUUUACUAGUAUUUUGAUUAUAGAACUGUAAAAGAAGGUGAAAGUUAUCUGUAAUAGCGUUGUUAAAAGCAGAAUUUGGAACAGAUUUUUAACAAACUUAUUAAAGUGCAAGAAUCAGGUAAAUUUUGCUGUUAUAGUAAAUUUUGGCAUGAAACUUCAGAAUUUUACUGUAUGAUUUCAACAUGGCAAUCUACACUAGUGAGAAUGUAAGAUUAAUUUUUACUUUGAUAUUUAGCCUAACCAGAUUUGGGGAGCAAAAAAAUUCGCAAAGUGACCAAACAUAAAACUCAAUAUACAUAAAGGAGGGAAGCCCAUUUUCUAAUCUGUAAGGAAAAAUCAGUUAGGCGUUGCCUAAGAAGUUAUUUGGCAGAACUUUUCAAUUUAUCUUUGGUCCAAAAAGAAAAAAACCCACUUUGUUUACGUACCUCCAUUGGCCACGCUUCACAAAUAAAUGAGACUGGUAAAAAUCUUAUGCCUGCCAAGAAAGAACCCCCUCUUGAUUAUUGGCAUUUCAAUGCAAUUACAGAAUUCAGGUUUAAAAAUUAGACGGGAUGAUAAAAAGCACAUUCUUCAUAAAUAUUUAACCUUCUUCAGUAUGACAGUAAUUAUAGUGUGGAGCUCAGUAGCUGCAUAUUCCAUUUAAAAGAUCUGUCAUGCCUUCCCUUCGAAAUGCUUCUUUUCAAAGGUUUGCAAUGCCAAGAUAAAAAGAAAACUCCCCCAAGGUGGAAACUUGGAAUAAAGUCUCAGCUUCUAAAAAUUAUUAUUAAUGGUAGAUUCUGAGGAUGAGAGAGUCUGUUUGAAAUAUAGUGAGAUUUUACAAGCACUGCUUUCUUUUCCUGAGCAAAAUAUUUAAUAACAUUGGAUAAUCUUUACAUUCUAAAAAUAUCUGGGAAAAAUCGCAAAAUAUUUUCAAAAUGGAAACACUGAUUUUUGUUAAAUGUUUUUUGUUUUGAAGUGUCCUUUGAUCUUACUGGUAACAUUUCAUCCUUUUAAAAAGUACUUGAAGUAAAGUUGAAGUAUUUGGUGUUGAAUACAAUUGGUUUAGAUCAAAUGAAAUGUUUUUUUUUUUUUGCAGAAAUUCCAGAUACCUUAAAAACUAUUAUUCACUCAGCUUUAGAUCAGUAUAUAUACAUUUUGAUAGGUAAAACCAUGUUUUCAUAUUAUAGAAAGCUAGUGAAUGGCUUUGAAGAAGGUUUUGAUAAUGCUUAACUCGAAAUUCUAAGUUGUUUUAUUAGGGGAAGGUAAUUCAUCUAUUUGAAGUUUGGUGGGGAUAAGGUGGGAAGAGGGAAAGUGCUAAACCUCAGCCAUGCUCAUGGAAAUGUGGAUGUGAAGAUUAAGCGAAGUGAACAAGUGAAGAUAACAGGUCUUGUCAGGAGAUGGUGAUAUUUGUGGCUGUGCUGGCACCCAGGCAUCUGACCGAGGCUUUCACUUGUGAUAGAAGCAGGUGGGUAAGUCUCUUGCCAGGACAGAGUCUUGUUUUGGUACUCAGCAGCUGCAGUCAGAACACCUUAGGAACACUCUCUCUUUCUUGCAAGGAGAGAGUGGGAGCAGUUCCCAGGAGCUGCUUUCCCAUUCUCUGCCCACACAGUGUGGAUAAGAAACUAGGCUAGUUUGUGCGUGGGUGGUUGGUGGGAAGGAGGUAAAGACAGACACAUAUGUUUAUAUGGCACUUCAUCACUACUGGAGGUCAGUCAGGUUUGGAGCCAAGCUGCUGCUUAUGCAGCUUUGAAAAGCUUCUUCUCUGUCCUUGAAGCUGAACUGUUAUUAGAGGCAAAAUUCCUCUCCAGCCUCAUGGCUGUAUCAGUGAAGAGUAACUGCCAAUAUCUCUAUAAGAUGUUGCAUACUCCUCUUUAAGAUUAGUCAAAGAAAUGCAGUUGAAACUCGAGUUUCACUUCAGACUCUCUUAAGCACUGAAACAUUUAAUGAGAAGUUCUUUAUGCUUCACUUCUUUCUUCUGCUAGGCUUUUUCUAAAAAAUUAAGAACUUGGGUGUUCAUAAUGGUUUUAGCUCUAAUUACCUGUUUACAGUCAUGGACUAUUUAUAUUCAUUUACAUUGCUUUGCAUUUAUGGCACUGUAUUCCACUUCAUUUUUGUCACUCUUAUCAAUUAGUUAGAAUGAGGAUUUUCUGCAAUUCUUGACAGUCAGCUUCAGAUUUGUCUGUUUUAAAUUUAAAUAAUUUAAAUAAUUCAAAAUCAUAUAAAAACUUUAUUAUUUCCCUAUUCAUCCCUUUUGUGGAUUUUCUGAAUAUGCUACAUAGGAUCUCUUAGAAUAUACAGUUCUAUUGUCACAGCCAAGCAUACACUCCUGCCCUUCGUUCCAUAACUUUCAAACAGUUGCUGAUCUAUGAGGCAACUUUUCUUUUUUUCCUAUGACAGCUUCAUUUCAACAGUAUUAACCUGAUCAUCCUUACUGAUAUGCUGUUAACUUAGUAGAUAUGUGAAAUAGGACUUCCCCCUACCCAGUGACUCUUCCUUCAGAUAAUAUGUAACCAUUUCUCUACUAACUCUAGUACACAGGGUACUCAUCACUCAAUAUAAAGUGUAUUUAACUGGUUAAGUUAUAAAAUUCAUAUUUUUACAUUACCUCUGGGAGAACCCUAAACCUUUAUUUAAUAUAAAAAAAGAUAUCAGAGUCUGGGUGGUUAUUCAGCUGAGUAGCCUAAAAUGUGGUACAAAUCUACACAUUUGUCUAGUACAGAAGCCAGAUUCACUGACCCUUGGUUUCUCAGGAUCCUUUCUGAUUCUUCUGAAGGUUUGCAUUUGUAUUAAGGUUGAUUAAGCAAUGGAUGAUAUACCACAGUCAUUGACCAAAUUCACUUCACUAGGUCCUAUUUCCCUUCCUAGUGCUCUAAAUUUACUGCAUUUCAGAGAUGGAAAGAACAGCCAAACCAAGGAGUGAAUAAUAAAAUAAUAAAGGAGAGAAGUCUAUCCAUUCAGAAACAGAAAUAAAAAUUAAGGAAAAAAAGGGACUUAAAUGGGGAAGAAGUAUAAAUUUUUCAAAGAUACUUUUUUCCCCCAAGAGCAAUAUUCUACUGAAGACUGUUCUAUUCCCAGCGCUGUGUAAUAUAUAGAACUCACCUAGAAACUCACUGCUCUACUUGCAACUCCAUCUUCUUUCUAGGGUUACAAAAUGGAAGGUUUGAGGUACUCAUGUUUCCUCUUUCAAGGAACUCAUGACCAAUAGGAUUGACAUGCAACUUUAUUUAAUAACACCUAUGAAAAAAAGAACUUUAAAAUAAAGCAAUCUUCAUUCACUGUUAUAAGAUAGAUUUUUCUCAAAAAUUAGACCAUAAAUGACAAGGCGAGGCUUGAAGCAGGAAUCUGGAUGAAAAAUAUACUUGCAAAUAAACAAGCAGGCCAUAAAUUCAUAAAUUUUAAAAUAUAAGGAAAAAUACGUAAGCUUCCCUCAGGAAGACAUGGUUAUCUAAGGAUGAAUCUGUCAUUAUUGGGACAGGGCUACCUCUCUUUUAUGCAUUGUGCUCCUUCUUCACUAGUAUGUGUCAGGUUUUAACCUCUUCACAUAACCAUAGCUGUCAAGUAACAAAGAUGAUUCCCUCACAUGUGCCUUCAAACCUCAUGUCUGCAUUCACCUACACUCUUGCCAAAUUCUUAAGAAGAGACAUGAGAGUAAAAAGGUUAUCUGGUCUAGUAUUUUUUUUGAAGAAAUCCUAGUCAUUAGUGAACAGAUAAUUUUUGUGGUUUGAUUUUGAGGCAGAAGACAUUGAUUCAUUUCAUUUGGCUAUUAUAUAAACUGUUAAAAUGAAGAAGUCACAAUAAAUGAAAUUUAUUUUACUGAAGUUGUUCAUGUUUAUGUGAGCAUAAUCAUGUAUGAACAUAUACGAGUCCAUAAUUUAAGGCUUUUUGCAGUUCAAUAGUCUGAGCUGCUCUAUAACUCUUGCAAUGAAUGAACUCUCUCAGUGUCCAUUAUGGGAUGAUAUUGGAAGACCAUAAAUACUUGAUUGUCUUUGUCCUUAUCCUCUUUCAGUAGUGAACACAUCAUCAAAGGUAAAAUUUACACAACAGCUCAGGCUUAAGCACCAACAGAACUGAAAAGCUUUGUGUGAAUGUCAGAAGACUCUGUGUUGAUACCAACCAUGAGCAUUCUGAGACAAAAGAAUACUCUAGAAAAGGCCACCUCUUCCUUUCCGAUACAGAUGAAGAUUGGAAGUUCUGCCCCUUUUCCUUCCAGGACAAGACAGGAAUCCUGCUGCAGCAAACUCUCCAGGAUCAUUACUAUGCAACCUACUCUCUGCAUCUCACUGCUUCUGGAAUAGUGAUCCUUGCCUUCUCCUGAGCACAGCCUUCAAAAACCAUGAACUUGGCAUGAUCCACCUCUUGGACUUCACUGCUGCCAAGCAGUCUGAAUAUGCAGGGUGGUGUCCUAAGGUACCCAGGAUGCAUGAGCAAGCCAAUCACCACAUGUACUAGAGGGUUCAGCCAUGCUAGGGGUAUGUUUACAGGUAUGGGUUCAACAUGCUGUGUUGAAAAUAACGCAAACUUAAAAAAUUGCUAUGCCUAUGUCCCACUGUCAUUUAAACCUCCUGUCCUCACCUCUGCACUGCAGUUUAUUCUCUCUUCAUGGACCUCCUCCAUUAUCCUCAUAUAACAUGUGCCACUAAAACUGGUUGCAGGCCUUUUCUAUGGAUUAGAUCACUAAAAUGAACGGAAAUUUUUAUCUCCCCUUGGAAAUAUUUCUUUUUUUAAUCAUUUUUUCUUUAAACCAAGCACAUUUUCAUGGAGCAGGUGACAGUUCCAUGCUUUAGAUAAGACUGUCCUAGCCAAACCCUUAUGGAGAUACUGUUCUUGACUACCUUCAGAAAAAAAAUAUUAACACCAUGAUUAUAAUUAGCCAACUAUUAAUCUUUAAAGAAGGCUCAAAGAACUACAGGAAUUUGACAGAUAAAAUGGAAUUUCAUAAUUAAAUCUCAGUUUUAAAGGCAGAGAGGGUCCACAUGUAGGCAGCAAACAGAAUAAUAUAUUCUUCAUUAAUUUAUCACCACGUAAUAAAUAACAAAUAUACCUUCAAUAAUCAUUUAUCAGUGAAAUGCCUGCCCUAUUUAAAGCAAACACUUCUAACUGGAUAUGUGUAAGUAGAAGAAAGGUACUGUCAGCAAGCUAUUCUGAAUCUUUGUGACAAAAAUGGAUGGAGAGACGGCAGAAGGGAGGGGGCAGAAAUGGAAAUAUUGUAAAUUAUUAGAUGCAAUUCUAUAUGAUACAUAUUAUCAGAAUGAUUCACAUAGCAAGAUAAUAACUAGAAAUAAAACUCUAAUCAUCCAGCAGCAAAGUAGAGAAUGUUGUUGCUGUUAAGAAUCCUGAAACAGAAUCAAAGAAAGAGGAAAAUAAAGAAAAUGGAAAAUUUGAAUAGGAGUGCAAAAGACUGCAAACUAAAAAUAGAGGUGUGAUGGGGAAAACUACAUCUGAAGAUUGGAGAAAUGAGGGAAAGACACACCCCCUCCUUUCCAAAAGACUUGCUGAUUUUUUUCAAAAACUGUGUCAGGCUAGAAUAGAAAUGGGAGGUUACACUUUGUGGUGAAAGCCACAGAAAAGGAUACAAAAUAAGAGCUCUAGUGUUAGCAUACAAAGCAUCUCAGCCCAAGUCUACAAAGUUUCACAAAUGAGAUUUCCAACUCAACAUAACCAAUGCCUGUGUGUCAAAUUAAAUAUUAAAUGUUGAGUCCUCUGUUAUCAGGAAGUAAUUCGGUGCCAUUGACUUCAAAUAGAGAUGGAGCAAUUAACACCAGCACAGAACCUGGCCUGAUCCAUUAGUGUUUGUAUUAGCAAGGGGAAGCACAAUUUCCUGUUAAUUUGUGACAAAUUUACAAUAACUCUGACUGUUGCAGCUCAGAAAGUGGAAGAUGAAGCAAGAACUGCAGAGCAGCUGGAGGAAGCUCAUUUUAUGAGAAAUGUGCUUCAUGCGCCUUGCAAAAGCAAUACCACUGCUAAUAAACUUAACCAUGUUUUUACAUGCAUACAAUGAGUAUAUACACACUGAGGAAGGACCAGUCCUGUCCAGAUAGCUAAAAACCACAAACAUAUUCAGGAAGGACAAAGUUUUCUUUAAGAUGUUAGUUAACACAUGUUAAAUAUAUUCCUCAAAUCUCAGCUAACUUCCACUGGCUGAACACUCAUGGUGACAAAUGCAGUGAGUCCUGGUACCUUGAAACUCCAGAUGUGAGAGAUUUAAACUCUGUUAGUCUGUUUAAGCCUGAAGGUGGCCAUACACUAGGGGUUCUGUCCAAAACUUCUGCUUCUUUCGUUUUGGUCUGACCAAAACAGUAACCCUGAGUGAGUGUCUAUCCCUGCAAAUUACUGGAAAGUGAGCUGAGUUGAAGCUCUGCCCAUCCCACCUACAAAACAUGUUUUUCAGUGAUCUUCCCAUUCCUGGUAGUUAGCUAGACAUUUUUCCAUUGGACUGUUAUACCAAUGUAUAAGUGUUCUACAAGAACAGGAUGUGAUGAGCCAUUUGACAGAAGCAGGUAGGUUUCCUACAGAGGACAGCACACUUUACUGGCAGGUCACCGAGCUUCCCAACAGUGUGCCAGACAAGCUAAACACAGCCACAAAUCUGACAAUUGCAGAAUAAAAACUAAAGCCAUGAACAGUAGGGCUUUAUUGCUGCCUGCCAUGGAGUUGGAAAUAUUUUGCUCAUGGGACUUGAGUGAAGCCAAGACUGCCAUGCUAAUAGAAUAAUACUUUCCUUUUAAACAAAAUACGUAAAUAUCCGUAAUGAGAAAAAAGUAAGAAUCUGAAAAACAGAGGACGUUAAUCAACCCUUACAAAUAGUUGACAAGGUAUGGCCUUGGGAAAAGGAAUAGACACCAUAAAUAAGUCAAACUAAGAAAUAACAAGAUAAGCUCAAGGAGAACCGAAGGGUUAAUGAGACCAAACAGACAAUUACUUGAACCAUGUAUGAACUGUCCCAAUUAGCAUACUACAAGGCCUGCUCUUGAGCAAAAAAAGCCCCCUACUAACAAAGCCCCCUCCCCACAGAACAUGCAGGGUGAAAAGAAAGAAUACUGUACCUUUAAAUGGAGAUGGGGCUUGUAAGAACCAGUAAGAAUUGUGACCAAAUGUAAUAGUAAAGCAUUGUUCAAAGUGUAGAAAAUGUUUUACUAUGUAUUAAGAGGUGUGCUAGCUUUGUGGAUUUACCACCUGGCACCAUCUCUGCAGAGACAUGCAAUGAACAAAUAUCUCAGCUUUGUGUGUGGAUUAGCCCUUGCACACCGGAUGAAGAACCCAGAAUUGGAAUAACAAUGCUGGCUGGAUGUGGCCAGGGAUAUGUAAGCCACCAGGAUUGUGGUGUUUUUCAGGGAGCUUACGGAAGUUCAUCAACAGUUUCCUUUUGAGAAAACUGUAUAAAUGAUCCUUUGUAUUUUCAUUUCUUCAUAAAGGCAGAAGUUCAAUACAUUCCUUUCUAAAAAAAAAAGUCAUUAUUUUGUUCAAAAGCGGAAACAUUUUUUAAACCUUCUGAAUCUCCUACUGAAUGGAAUUACACAUUGCAAAAAGCCUCAGUACAUGAGCACCCAACCAUAUUAUUAAGCAUCCUGAGAAUCUGUGAAGCUUCAAUGUCUUUGCUGGUUUUGACCCAAAAAUACCUUCAAAAAAUUAAUCUUUUAUUGGACAAAGUUCUACAGAAAACACAGAAAGUGCAAACAGGCAAAUUAUUAACCUGUAGAAGUCAAUACAUAUAUUCAACUUUGCUGUUUCAACAGGAACUUUUGUACAACAAAGGCAAAGUUCUUGGACUGGAUCAAGGUGUUGGGACUGCACAUGAUGCAGAGCAUAAACCUCUCCCAUUACCACCUAUGUCUGCUGUGGUCCAUGGAUGGUGUAGGAAGAGCAACCACUUCAAAAAAAUUCCUUGAAAAAAAGAAUCAAAAUGCCAAACCUCUGAAUAAAAUAAACUUAUGAAAUUGA